GUUAUUUAUUAUUCAAUGAAUUUUGUAUUAAUAUUAAGUAAAUUAUUAAAUGAAAUUAAUUAUUGAAUAGUUGCUUUCAUAAGAUGCAAGUGUGAGAUGGCAAUUAGAUGGCAGUUGCUAUGUAUUCUGAAGAGGUGUUACGUGGGGCUCUUAUCCCUUCUUUCAUUUAGUUUCACGCAAGCCAGAAGAAGCAUGGCACUGUGCUGUGUAAAUUUUCGUUAAACUGAAGGCAGUAAAGGAUCGGCUUAUUGCUUUGUUGAAUUUCUUGAUUGGCAAAAUCCAGAAAAUCCUAUACCUAGUGGCGGCACAGUGAUCCAGAAAUCACUGUAGUAAAUUCAUCCCAGUUCCGCCAUAAGCCAUUCGCAGAAUCUCCUGUAGCAAAUUCGGUACAGUGCCGCAACACUGUAGAGAAAUUCGAUAAAAGAAAUGUUGUGCGGGUUUGGAAAUCAAAUAUAGAGCAGGAAUUUGGAAGGUUUGGAAGAAACAGAACCAAAGAAAAUUUAGACAACAUGAAGGAGAAAGUAGAAUGGGAGGAAAGCUGAAUGCUAACGAAAGAUCAAGGUAUUGUGCCAAUUUGGCAUGAUUUGAAAGUGAAUUACAGUAAAGAGUCCUAUUAAAACAAAGUUAAGAGGAAAUUAGGGAAGAACGAAUUGAGGAUCCAUCAGAUAUAUGCAGAAAGGAAGUUUGGGAGAGUUUAUCAGAAGAGAAGAUUAAGUGGGGUAGAAUUGGAAGAGGCAAUUCAUCAAGAAUGUAAGUUAUGUAAAGUUAAUUACUGAUUUUUUUAGUAUAUUUAUUAUGUCUUUUCAAUGAUCUGAGUAAGUCAAUAUAUUAUGAAUAUUUACGUAUUAACCAUGAGAUUGUAUUGAGAUAUUCGUGUUAAACAAAUGUCUUUUAUGUGGAAAAGUGAAAUUAAUAUUUGAUCAAGUAUGAUGUUUCAAUCUUUUUAAUAAUAUGUUAAAGAAAGAAGUUUGCAUUUGUUAGAUAAUGCAUAUUAAACUCUUUUUGCAACACUUGUACUGUUUUAUAAGUGGUAAGAAUAUGAAUUAUGAAUAUGAGAGUUAUUGAAUAUUUAUUUAAUAAAGAUUGGCUAGUUUAUAUUAUGAUAUCUACAUUUUCAGGUGGGCAAAAGGGACCCCAAGGAAAUGGAUACCUGCAUAGCAGGUGGGGCAAAAGGGACCCCUAUAGAGGCAAAAGGGACCUCUAUGAAAUUCAAUGGUGAUAAUGCCAGAUUUACCUGGGCUCUAUUGAAUAUAUUAAAAUAUAGCCAAAUCUUUUAAAAGAUUAAAUAUUCAAUAUAUAUCUCAAAUGACAUAAAGGAUGAUGUUUAAUAUGAUGCUUUUGAUGCUUUUCAAAUAAUGAUAAGUUGGUGCAAUGAUUAGCUCAAUAUUGCAUUUCAUUUUAUCAAUUCAUUUUUAUUAUUAUUUAAUUUUGCAUAGCUUAUGUGAGCCUCAUAGCUCACCAGAACUUUCUUCUGGCUGUUUUUACAGGCAAAGGAAAAGAUAAAGUUGUUGUUGAUUAGAUUUUAAGUACCUCAAUGUUAUGUGUUAUUUCUAUAUCUGUUAGUAAGGAUUAGCUAAGGGUAUGUAAACACUCAUUUGAAGUAUUUUGUUUGGAUGUUCCUUAGUAGCUCUGUAAUAUGUUGUGGAUGUUUAAAAUGUUAAGUACUUCAGUUAAUGUAUCAAUGAAGGUUUAUGAGA